AUAUUGGACAAUGGGGGCAACCCUGAUCCAGCCAUGCCGCGUGUUUGAAGAAGGUCUUCGGAUUGUAAAGCAUUUUAAGUUGGGAGGAAGGGCUUUAGGCUAAUAUCCUGAAGUUUUGACGUUCUCAACAGAAUAAUCACCGGCUACCUCUUUCCCAGCAGCCGCAGUAAUAAAGAGGGUGCAAGAGUUAAUCGGAAUUACUGGGCGUAAAGCGGUCGUAGGUGGUUCAGUAAGAUGGGUGUGAAAUCCCCGGGCUUAACCUGGGAACUGCUUUCAUAACUGCUGAGCUAGAGUACGGUAGAGGGUAGUGGAAUUUCCUGUGUAGCGGUGAAAUGCGUAGUUAUAGGAAGGAACACCAGUGGCGAAGGCGACUACCUGGACUGAUACUGACACUGAGGUGCGAAAGCGUGGGGAGCAAACA
rnacentral:rRNA from 1 species